CCAAUCCACCUUCAAUGUCAAGAAAUGCUACCAUUGUAUAUUCCUUGACAGCGAGAGAAUCCUCUAUGUAGCCGACUAGAUCGUGAAGGGCUGUUUCAGUGGAUUUGCCUUCACUAUAUGCAUGCUGCUGCUGCGACAGGCUAUCUUCAGGGAUCCUUGCCCUAAGAUACGUUUCUAUCAACCUCUCAAGAGUCUUCGGCAUAAAGGAUGACAGACUAAAAGCACGAAAAUCUUUCGCCUUCGUGUGGUAGGGUUUUCCUGCUUUCGGAAUGAAAAUCUUCUUCGUACCCCUUCAUCCCACAGCCAUUUCAGCACUUCCUUAAUUGCAAGGAUCACCCUUUUCGAUGUGACCAGUUCUAGAUCUUUCGAGUACACCCCAAAACCCACCUGGUCGUUUAGUUUGGGACCAUCCGUAUAGAAGUCUAUGUAACUUCUGUUAGCAGGGAUAUGGUAGUUCCAAUCGGUUCUAUCAGGAAUAGUGACAUUCUGUGUGGCAAAUCAAAACUCUGGUUAAUAUUGUGCACGUUCGUGAUGUGCCGUGGUUUGUCUGCUCUGUGAUUUUGAUAGCAACCCCGAUUUUGCAUUUGAAGUGGCCACUAUGUUUUCAAGCGUAUGAUAUUGUUUAAUUGUUGCUUGCAUGGAGCACUUGCUGGAUUAGUUUAAGAAAAUAAUGAAUUUUAGUUUU